UGCAAAUGAGAUAUUUUAUUCCAUAUUCCCUGCCAGCAAAUGAUUAGAAUCAAACUCAUUCACAAUAGUUUGGUGAACUCCUAAACUUUUUUUUUUUUUUUAAAGGAUCAGAAUAGUUUGAAACAGGGUGCUUGUCAGUCUCGUGUGCCUGUGGAAAGGAAAAGAACUCCCUUUCUAGGCACACCAGCCAGCUGGGAGUUCCUCUACCAUCCAGCUUCUUUCUUGGAACGGAAAGAAAUAAGAACGCGAUGGGGUGGGGCUGGCUCUUAGGAAGGCUUGGGGUGGUACCUGAUUCAGGGGAUGCCAAGGAGCCAUCAAGCAGCACCAACCAUUGUAGCUACUUGCCCAGCAUCUCACCCAUCGCCUACCUUGGGUAGUAAAAUGGAGGAGGAAAACCACGUAUAGAAGGCAAGAUACGGGUGACGCCUGAAUUAAAACACCCACAAUUACACUAUAUGGGAACAUAUCUGUGCAAGUAUAUGCACGUUCUACCCAGACAAGCUGUGACGUCAGAUUCAACUCCUGAAACACCCACUAAACCUACCUGCCCUGUGUGUGCUCGGGCCUCUCAUCACAGAGCAUCAGAUCACUGGCCAGAUUUCCAAAAGAGUCUUCGGAUUCUCCGUUUAGCCAAGAAGCUUAAUUAGAAUUAUGACAUUUGCUUUCUCUGUUUAUUUAAGUCCUUCCUGUCACUUUGCAGCCUGGCCUAGUCUCUCUUGAAAAAUGAGGACCUUCUAGUGAGGCCCAGAGCAGAGAGAGGGAAUAGGACCCUGAGAGGGCAGGAAAUUCGCCCAGAAAGCUUUUUAAACCCUGCCAAGUGCUUGACUAGCUGUGAGGGUCACCAGUAGCACAGGCUAUUUAACCAGUGACUGGCAGAGCCCCAGCCAGGAACCAGGUUUUCUGACUUCUAGUCUGGUAUUCUUUCUGAGCCUUUCCAAGGGGAGUAUAUUAUACAUUUCUCAGACACUUCAAAAAUCCCGUUCUGUCUCUUCCAUUUUUCCCUGCCAAUGACGAUUUGCUCACCUGGAUCCAAACCUCCCCCUCUUCCAUAUUCUCCUGGGCUUUCUCAGCUGUGGUCUUGGCAAGGUGCUUCUUUAGAAAGUUUCAUACACACACACACACACACACACACACACAUAAGGUUUCAAUGCCCUUCUCAAUAAGUAACAUUUUCAUUUAUAACAAAAUUAUGAUCUUAUACAAUUGCAGCCUUAUAAAGUAAAUGUUUAGAACGCCAGCUUCUGCCCUGUCCUACACACCUCUGCAUGGCUGGGCAUCCCAGUAUCUUCCAGGCCAGUAAGUUUAGGGCUCCCUUGCCUGAAGAUGAUCAUGUAACCAAUGUCUCUUGUUUUUCGCUAACAUUAUAUCUCCAACGGUGCUUUUGGUGGGGUUGGGGGGGGGGGGAGUGGUCCAAACGCCCCUUUAGAUCCUAUCCAACUCUGUUGAUUCCUAAAUAUUUAUUAAGCAUCUAUUGCAUGUCAGACUCUUUUUAAGUUGCUGGAGGGUAGGGGGCUGAGCUACAAAGCUAAGAGUCAUCUGUUCCUUUUCCUUUUAAGAACGUUUAAUUUAGCUGGGAAAAGGAAAAUAGUGCAUUUCAUCUUUUCUAAAGAUUCGUUAAAAUCUCCAAUGAGUUUCAUUGUCCUCAUGAUCUCACAAUUCCAAAUGACUUUUAAAAAAAUCUGACUUCACUGAAUAAGAUGUGAGGUUAGAUCACCAUGCCAACUAGUGGCCUCAAAAACACCGAUGCGUAUAUAUGUAAGUCAUUAAGUAUCACCAGGUUUCACCAAGUAAAAGCGUUCUGGUCCCUUCCCCUACCAACCCUUAUGCAUUUCCAUGCAGCAAUCUGCCAGCUCGGUCUAUGCUUCUCCCCAGGCUGGGGUUAGGGAUAAACUCUCUGACUCUAAGCACCUUGAAAGGUACGAGGCCGAGGAGGGCGCAGAAGCAGCCCCCGCAUGUAUAUGCAUGCCCUAGGCAGGUCUGCUCCGAAGGUAACCUUCCCGCGCCGGGAGGCGGGGUGGAGGAGGUCUUCCGGGCUCCGGAGGAAACCUGCCGGCUGCAGGCGGGCGACCCCCCCCCCCCCAAACUUCUCCCGGCAGGAUGCUGCCCCUCGCAGUUCGUCAGUCAGCCAAAUGCAUUCCAGAGCUGUGCACAAGACACACUUCUCCAGGCAGUCCUAGAAACCCGAGCCCGGAGCGAGAGAGGGCGGGAGGGAGCGCGCGGCCGCCGCUGAGGUCACAUUCGCGCCGCCUCCCCGCCCUCGGCGGCCCGGCUGUUCCCUCCAGUGCACACUUCCCGGGGCCUCGGUCCAGUCCGGUGUAAAUGUCUUUUAAACCGAGACAGCGGUGUCCUCCCCCUUCCCUCCCGCGCGGCCAGGGGAUCCGCCGCCAGGGCCUUUAAAACAGGACGAAUGAAUGAAGCGCGUAGGGCGAGCGCGCGCGGGACGGCGCGGCGAGGCUCUGUGGGUUGGGUCUAAAUUGGGCCACCGACCCGCUCGUUCCGCUCCAAAACUCGCCGGCGAAGCCCGCUCAGUGCUCUCGGGUCUUCCCAUUUCUCCUCUGAUCCGGCCAGGUCUCAGUCGAUUCUGGGAGCUUCUCUGCUCCCCACCUUUAUUCCGCCCCCCCAUUGGUCUCCCCUCUGCAGACCCAGGAGGGGGUGGCGAGGGCGGGGGGGACGGCAGGGGGAGAAAUAGCUUUUAGAAAC
rnacentral:lncRNA from 1 species